rnacentral:pre_miRNA from 7 species
CUUGCAGCUGAAGAACUCUGACCUUCAGUGGCUUCUAGUGAAAGAACCUAGUGGGGAAACCCCCACUCAACUCUCGACUAGGCGUGCACCCAAGAAUCACGAACAGAACG